rnacentral:tRNA from 1 species
UUUUUAGUUAGUAUAGUAUGUACAUUUGCCUUCCAAGCAAAAAGUCUCAUUAUGAGCCU